UACGAAGGGGCUAGCGUUGCUCGGAUUGACUGGGCGUAAAGGGCGCGUAGGCGGUUUGUACAGUCAGACGUGAAAUUCCCGGGCUCAACCUGGGGGCUGCGUUUGAUACGUGCGGACUUGAGUUCGGAAGAGGGUCGUGGAAUUCCAGUGUAGAGGUGAAAUCGUAGAUAUUGGGAAGAACACCGGUGGCGAAGGCGGCGACCUGGUCCGAUACUGACGGCUGAGGCGCGAAAGCGUGGGGAGCAAACAGG
rnacentral:rRNA from 1 species